rnacentral:sRNA from 1 species
ACCAGGGAGGAUAACGUUGCUUCAGCAACGGCCCGUAGGGCGAGGCGCAGCCGAGUAAUCCUCCCGGAUGCACCA